rnacentral:rRNA from 1 species
GACGAACGCUGGCGGCGUGCUUAACACAUGCAAGUCGAACGGAAAGGCCCUGCUUGCAGGGUACUCGAGUGGCGAACGGGUGAGUAACACGUGGGUGAUCUGCCCUGCACUUCGGGAUAAGCCUGGGAAACUGGGUCUAAUACCGGAUAGGAGCCAUUUUUAGUGUGAUGGUUGGAAAGUUUUUUCGGUGUAGGAUGAGCUCGCGGCCUAUCAGCUUGUUGGUGGGGUAAUGGCCUACCAAGGCGGCGACGGGUAGCCGGCCUGAGAGGGUGGCCGGCCACAUUGGGACUGAGAUACGGCCCAGACUCCUACGGGAGGCAGCAGUGGGGAAUAUUGCACAAUGGGCGCAAGCCUGAUGCAGCGACGCCGCGGGGGGGAUGACGGCCUUCGGGUUGGAAACUCCUUUCGCUAGGGACGAAGCUUUUUGUGACGGUACCUAGAGAAGAAGCACCGGCUAACUACGUG